GUAGUAUCACGUAACACUGUAUUUACUUUUGUUGUUUACGUAAAGGUCGCUGGUGAAUCCUAAUUUGAGCGUUGUUGUGCAACGUUAAAGUCUCCCACGCGUCACACUUUCUGAAUGUAGCACUAGACCGGUUGGCAAAAAGGACCCAUCGAGAUCCCACUUUUACAAAGAAGGCAAUGGUGAAGGUGAAGGUGACGUCAUCGCUUGUUAACUGUAAACCAGUUCGGCAAGUGCUUGAAAUAAAUCGCGUCACUCAUUCAGAAAGUUAAAGACUUCUUUGUGUGUCUGUAGUGGUAGCUGCUGUUUUUUUUUUAAAGAAAGUGCCAAUUUCUAAUUAGCAGGUCAGGUGGGUAGAAGGGGUCUUGCAGUUCUGUGAUAAUCCAUUACAAUAAAGCCAAACAUGAAGCUCGCCCUUAUUUUAUUAGUUCUACUAGUCGAGGUGUUCUGCAAGAAGGAUAUGCUCCGAAAAAGCAUAGUUUUCGACCAAAAAACGCCAGAUGUUUUUUACUGUCCAAUCCACAAGCCCACAUCGAUGGAUAAGCUAAUGGUGAAAGCGCGACCUUUGAAAAAACUGUGCGAGUUUGAGGGAAAAGAAAUUCCCGAAGACUACAAGAGCGAUUGUUACCAGGACGUCGACGAAAGCGACUACGCGUGCAAGGAGAAAUAUCGAAUUAUGACGCGCAUUAAAAAGCUUCAGCUGGCGGAUAUUAAUAAGGACGCUGGAUACUAAAGCUAUAAUCAAUAAUGGCCCAUUAUCAUCCCUCACACUUUGUAUCAUACUCAUUUGCUAUUUUAAUUCAUGGGGGUAGCAGUUGGUGGCGGCAGUCGUUACUUUAUUUAUUAACGUAUUUCUAAGACACUUCUAUGUUUAUCUCGAUCUAUCCUAACCAUUCAUAAUUUUUGAUCCACCCUGUGCAUUGUUAUCGCUUUAAAAUACAGUGAAGAGCAACGAUUAGAUGCGUCUUUACCCACCCGGCUCAGAUUCUCCCUUCGAUGGUACACGCCUUAAACGAUUCAUUAACGUCGAUCAUCAGUUUGUUAAGCACGGUAGCACAAAGAGCGUACAAUUGCAAGAUCGUUUGGGUUGAAAGAGUAAAC